GGUGAACGCUAGCGGCGUGCCUUAGGCAUGCAAGUCGAACGACUCCGACGCAAGUCGGAGAGUGGCAGACGGGUGAGUAACACGUGAGAACGUACCCUUUAGUGAGGAAUAACCCACCGAAAGGUGGGCUAAUACCGCAUAGCCUCGUCCGUUGGACGAGGAAAUUCGAAGCACCAAGCACGAAAUCACAAACAAAAGAUUAAUUUCUAAAUAGUCAAAACUCAAAGUUUAGAAUUUAGAUUUUAAAUAUUAUAAUUUGUUUCGGAUUUCGAAUUUGGAUAUUUGGAUUUUCUCGCCCUUCGGGCGAGUAAAGGCCAUAACUGGUCGCUAAAGGAGCGGCUCGCGUCCCAUCAGCUUGUUGGUAGGGUAAAGGCCUACCAAGGCUAUGACGGGUAGCUGGACUGAGAGGUUGGCCAGCCACAAGGGCACUGAGACACGGGCCCUACUCCUACGGGAGGCAGCAACUAGGAAUAGUAGACAAUGGGCGAAAGCCUGAUCUCGCGACGCCGCGUGGAGGAUGACGGCCUUCGGGUUGUAAACUCCUUUUGUAAGGGAAUAAGGUCCGAUUAUUCGGGCUUGACUGUACCUUAAGAAUAAGCCGCUGCUAACUACGUGC
rnacentral:rRNA from 1 species